GAUGAAGAACGCAGCGAAAUGCGAUACUUGGUGUGAAUUGCAGAAUCCCGUGAACCAUCGAGUCUUUGAACGCAAGUUGCGCCCGAAGCCACUAGGCCGAGGGCACGCCUGCCUGGGCGUCACACGCCGUUGCCCCCCCAUCUACUCCUUCGGGAUUGUGGGGGGCGGAUGAUGGCCUCCCGUGCGCCUCGUCGCGCGGUUGGCAUAAAUGCCAAGUCCUCGGCGACGCACGCCACGACAAUCGGUGGUUGCGAAACCUCGGUUGCCCGUCGUGUGCGGUCGUCGCGCAUCGAGGGCUCGAAAAAAUUGCCGGGCUCCGGCUCGGCUUUCAACGCGACCCCAGGUCAGGCGGGGUUACCCGCUGAAUUUAAGCAUAUCAAUAAGCGGAGGA
rnacentral:misc_RNA from 1 species